GCAAACUUGGUCAUUUAGAGGAAGUAAAAGUCGUAACAAGGUUUCCGUAGGUGAACCUGCGGAAGGAUCAUUAUUGAAUACCACUCGAUGGGUUGUAGCUGGCUCUUUGGAGCAUGUGCACGCCUGUCUUGGAUUUUCAUCUUCCACCUGUGCACGCUUUGUAGUCUUUGGGGUUUGUGGUGAAUGGUCAAUAUAUCUGGUCCAACAGACCGGGACAAGAGGAUUGCAUAUCGAUGACUCUCCUUGAUGGAUCAUGAACUGCCCGCCUCGGGGUCUAUGUCUUUAUUCACAAACCACAAUGUAUGUCGUAGAAUGUAUUUGCUGGGCCUCAGUGCCUAUACAAUGUUAUACAACUUUCAGCAACGGAUCUCUUGGCUCUCGCAUCGAUGAAGAACGCAGC
rnacentral:misc_RNA from 1 species